GGUUGUGGCUCAGCGGUAGAGCACUCGUCUCACAUAUUCGAGACCCUGGGUUUGAUCCCAAGCACCA
rnacentral:tRNA from 1 species